rnacentral:misc_RNA from 1 species
GAUGAAGAACGCAGCGAAAUGCGAUAAGUAAUGCAAAUUGCAGAAUUUCCGUGAGUCAUCGAAUCUUUGAACGCACAUUGCGCCCACUGGUAUUCCGGUGGGCAUGCCUGUUCGAGCGUCAUUAUCCUCCCUCAAACCCCGGGUUUGGUGUUGGACCCAAGUUGUGUGAACAACUGGUCUCAAAGACAAUGACGGCGUCCGUGGGACCCUCGGUGCAACGAGCUUUUAGGAGCACGCGCCGAGUUGCAAGGACCUUCCGGGCCGGUCUCCUUUACUAUUUUACAAGGUUGACCUCGGAUCAGGUAGGAAUACCCGCUGAACUUAAGCAUAUCAAUAAGCGGAGGA